UACGUAGGGGGGCUAGCGUUGUCCGGAAUCAUUGGGCGUAAAGCGCGUGUAGGCGGUCCGGUAAGUCCGCUGUGAAAGUCGGGGGCUCAACCCUCGGAUGCCGGUGGAUACUGUCGGGCUUGAGUACGGAAGAGGCGAGUGGAAUUCCUGGUGUAGCGGUGGAAUGCGCAGAUAUCAGGAGGAACACCAAUAGCGAAGGCAGCUCGCUGGGACGGUAUGACGCUGAGGCGCGAAAGCGUGGGGAGCGAACAGG
rnacentral:rRNA from 1 species